rnacentral:lncRNA from 1 species
AAAGCAAAGUAUUUGAAAGAUCAAAUAAUAAAAUUAAAGUUUUAAAAAUUGAAUAGUUAUUUUUACGGAUUAAUUUUAUACAGAUCCCUACAAAUAUAGUGAAUGACAAAUAUAAUCCUAUAAAGUUUAAUUUUUAUAUAUUGUUCCUACAAAAAUCCCGAUGUUAUUAAAUAUGUCCUUGCCGUUAAAAUUUAUUAGAAAAAUUUAGUUAACCAUAGAUUAAAUAUUUAACCCUAAUUAAUUUUUUGACAUUUUUAUCCCUCUUAUAUAUUAUACUGUUAUGACUUUUGGAUAGACAUAUUUGUGAUGACCAAAUUGAAAAAAUAAAUAGUUCUUUAAUUGUUUUCUAAUGAUAACAAAUUAUAAGGACAUAUUUAAAAACAUCGAAACUUUUACAUCGACGAUAUAUGUAUUCACUGUAUUUACAGAGACCUGAAUGGAAUUAAUUUUAUUUUUAAAUAAUUCAAAUUUAGU